rnacentral:lncRNA from 1 species
GAAUGGGACAGACUCUCAACAGGAAGUCCCCAGUCUAGUCCCCCUCCGGCUCAGCUCAGCAGGGCCCCAACUGUGGUUAACAGGCCAGCGGACACUCCCCGGUAAGCCUAAGACAGAACCCCCAGGUGGGGAAAAAGGAACUGCCCACUACUCUCCCAAGACACCAGGUAGAACGCAGACCCAGGCCUGAGAUCCCGCGACCCCGCCGGUGAGGGCGGAGCCUGGUGAGCUGGGGGCGGGGCCGGUGCACAGCUCGCGGCCCCGCCCCCAACGGAAGUAGCACCGGGCCGGCCCCUCCCUCCGCGGGCUGGUUACCUUCCCGACGCCCUUCCCCCGGCCCUCUCUUCCCGGCGCAAUUCGGCUACUAGAGGGAGUUCAGCCAGGGUCCCAACGCCAGGUCAGAAGAGGAGGUCCUGGGUCUGCGUUUCUGGCUGUCUUGGACAGUGCUUUCUGUCCCUGCCACUCCCCUCCCUUCCAUUCCUCUGUUACCGGCGCGGCUGCAGGCGCCGAGGGGGACGGCACAGGCGGUUUAGGCUCGGAUCAGAGCCUCGGAGAGGGACGCAAAAUGCCCCUUGGUCUCCCAGCAGGGGGCGGGGGACUGUCCUCGGCCCCAAGCCGCGCAAACUUCCCGGAGCUGCGGUGCGGGGGUCCGGCGGCAGGAGGGGAGCCCCCAGUGAGCUCAGUUUCCGGAUACGGCUUCCCCGCGCCUCGUCGUCCGCACUUUAGGGAGAUGGCCCCCCUUCCAUCCGCAUUUCCCCGGUUCACCACCCCCACGCCCCGGGGGCUGCGCCUCCUCCCCUCCCCCAGCUCUCCCCGGCGCUUUAAAUAAUGAUAUUUGCAUGCAGGGAGCGAUUCAUAAAUAUGUCAGGGCCGGUGAAAUAUAGGCAACAUUUCAAACUUUCUAUUUAAAAAACAUGAAUUAUGGCCGCGGAAAAUGUGUUCCCAUUUAAAGGCGAUACGAAGUAUUUGGUGUCUCGUCCCCGGGCCCAUCCAUCACACAGACAAUAAAGAGAGUUUUUCGCCCUGACACUCACGAUUUAUGGGCGCCCUUCUCUGCCCUCAUCACUCACCCGCCGCGGCCGGCUCGGCGACAGGCCCCGCGGAGAGACCCGCGGCCGCCCCCGCCCUCGUGCGCUUCGCUUCGCACGCGCACUUUGCGCCCUCGCCAGCCCCCCAAGACCGCCGCUCCCAGGGGAAGCGCCGGCUCCGGGAGUUGGGAGGUCGGCGAUGACGGUUUCGGCAGCCAAGUGGGAGCGGGAACCACACUCGUCCUCUCACCUCCGCGCAAGCCUCACUCAGGGCUGGGGCUGAGAGCUCCGAGGAGCGGCCUUGCCGGCCCGCUCUGCGUCCUGUCCUCGCCCGCUGACCGCGGCGCCGCGCCGAGAAGUUUGCAGCGCAGGCAGCGAGAGCUUAUAUACUCGUGGGUUGGAGGUGAGGGGACAGGACUAGGCAGGGGGCUCCCCAGGCCAAUUUCUGGCUAUUCCUCCCCAGGGAAGGCGAGCUAGUCCCAAGCUUUCUUGAACCCCGCUGGGCGAACGCUGCGCAAAGCUCUUUCUACAACUUUUACAAAGCCUUCCUUUCUCUGGUGCGAUCCCCAUAAACACAUUCUGGGCGUCCGAGGCACCUUGGAAACUAUUUUUACGGACAGGAGCCGAGGAGUUGGCGAGAAAUAAAGAAGGGAAGGCGCCUUCCCUAGUGUUUCGCCUCGGGCCAGGCUCGGCCGCCGGGUGCUCUCUUCGCCCACCGCCCCACCUUGCGCGCGCACACACUAGCGCGCUGUCCUCCCAAAGCCGCCACCGAAUCUCUACUGCAAACUUGCGUCCAAGAAAGUUCGGGCUUCAUCUGCCGCGGAAUUUGCUUUCAGUUUUCGCCGCGGGCGGACUUGGCCCAGCGGUUGCCGACUACCGCCGGAGAUGGGAGCUGCCAGGCACUGCCGGGCCGCGAGCGGCCGUUCGGCCUAAAGGCGCUGCUGGGCUAGCCUCCCUCAGAGGCCGGACCUGCCGCGGCACGGAACAGGAGGAGCCACAACGCGUCCCGCGCUGGCCGAUGCGUCUGCGUACGCGCAAACCCGGAGCCGUUUCCUGCCGGACGCUUGAGAGCUGGAUUUAUUCGGAUACAGGCAGCUCAAACACCAGCCAGAGAAAUCCCGUCGAUUCUAAAAAUGACAAGGUUGAAUUUAUUAGAUCAAAAUUCAUGUGUAAGUGCAGGAAGAUGAAUAUUAUACAAACAGCUCCACGUCCAGGGUGAACGGAAGAUCGCUUCUGGUUUCAAGGGCAUGUAACAUAACGUCUUAAUGUUUA